rnacentral:ribozyme from 1 species
AAUAGUUGUUUUUUUUUUUUUAAUUUUGAAAAAUCAACAGAAAAGAAAAAACCUUUUUCCCUUGUUCCUUGCUUUUCCUCGAGUUUUGGCUUUGGUGUGU